rnacentral:misc_RNA from 1 species
GUACAAGCUUGCUGCUCGGAAGGUUUGUCAGCUUAUGCACUUUCAAUUCUUUAGCACGUGCAUUGCUGAUUUUUGUAAUCUUUGCUUUGUGCUGAACUCGUGUGAGCUCAACAUUACUCUAUUACAAUUAUUUAGCAUCCCAUGAUUUAUAAUUUGUGAAUUUCUUACAAAAAAAUGGAUAACUAUUAUGAUUGAGAUAAGUGUACAAUGGAGUAUGGACCUUUGU